UUGUUCACCGUCCUCCUGGGAGACCUGUGGAAAGCGCCAAAGGAAUUAAUUCCAUUUUGAGGAAUGAGGUCUCUGACCAAGCCUGACGGGUGGAUCCUGAAGGGCUCCAUGACUAUGGAGGGAGUGGUGGACCAACUGGCCACUCGGGAUGCCUUUCCAUUCCCAAUGACGUUUGGGAGGGCAAGAAAAAUGGCGGAGAACGCCGGCCACGAUGUGGCCACCUGCCUUCUGCUGUGACUAGGGCUUAGUGGUCACAUACGUGGACAGCACUUUUUAGCUCUUAUGUCCACAAUUGUGUUCACUGCUGAAUUGGUGGUGUUACGGACACGUAUGGGGGUACUUACACUGCCAUCUGGUGGUGUCAGAAGUUUAUAACACACUACGGUCAAAAUUCAAAAUGGCGGCGAACACAAGGGAAGAUUCAAGUGGUAGCUCCAUACACAAACGUCGACCAGAGCGUUUUUCUCUGCAAAGAGCAUUGGAGCUACUUGGGUUAAUUGAUGGAAACAACUCAGAUUUGGACGUGUCUGACAACGAUGAUCCUAUCCUGGAUGGCAAUUACCAACCAUCACCACAGGAGGAAAGCAGCAGUGAGCACAGUAGUGAUGAUGAGGACCCCAUUCCUGAGCCCACUGACCACAGUGCAGAUAAUGGUUCAUGGACAGGGACAGAGACAGGUACAGGCACAGGUACAGGUUCAUCCCGCACUCUCAGACGUCGCCGUCAAAGUCAAGAGAUUGAGGCUGAUAGCUCAGAAGAUGACUUGGAAGAGCCAACACCAAGACCAAGCCAAACAAAAAAAAGAAAAAGGGAGAC